UACGAAGGGGGCGAGCGUUGCUCGGAAUCACUGGGCGUAAAGGGUGCGUAGGCGGGUCUUUUAAGUCAGGGGUGAAAUCCUGGAGCUCAACUCCAGAACUGCCUUUGAUACUGAAGAUCUUGAGUUCGGGAGAGGUGAGUGGAACUGCGAGUGUAGAGGUGAAAUUCGUAGAUAUUCGCAAGAACACCAGUGGCGAAGGCGGCUCACUGGCCCGAUACUGACGCUGAGGCACGAAAGCGUGGGGAGCAAACAGG
rnacentral:rRNA from 1 species